rnacentral:rRNA from 1 species
UACUCGAGUGGCGAACGGGUGAGUAACACGUGGGUGAUCUGCCCUGCACUUCGGGAUAAGCCUGGGAAACUGGGUCUAAUACCGGAUAGGAGCCAUUUUUAGUGUGAUGGUUGGAAAGUUUUUCGGUGUAGGAUGAGCUUGCGGCCUAUCAGCUUGUUGGUGGGGUAAUGGCCUACCAAGGCGGCGACGGGUAGCCGGCCUGAGAGGGUGGACGGCAACAUUGGGACUGAGAUACGGCCCAG